GGCCUUAUUCGCUUAUGUAUCCAUUUGUUUGUUCGUAAUUGUGUUGAAUUUAUUCAGGUUAAAUGUGUAUAAAAGCAAAACCGUUUCUUAUUGGCCUCAUUCACUCAUGCCUCUCUGUUCAUUUAUGAUUGUGUUGAAUUUAUUCAGGUUAAACGUGUCUUAUUCAUGCAGUUACGCUUGAAACAGUGGUUCCCGCUGCAACGCGCGGGCUUAUUUUCUAGUAUAUACUAAAAUCCAGUUUCCCCCGGCACUGUUCACCAGCAGUGAAAGGGCGAAACUGCCCUCGGAUUCUUCUUUGCUUGCAGUUGUCUUUUGCUAUUUUGUGCAGUGAAAAGUCCGUUUUGGCCCUCAUGGCCACGCGUCUGUCAUCGUUCAGUUUAUGCGUCGAAUAGGUUUUCGUUGGUUUACCAUUUGCUUUGUGUCGAAUAGGUUUUCGUUGGUUUACCAUUUGCUUUGCCUUUUGUGUGUCGGCAAUCUCUGCUUCUCUCCAUCUUGGUAUCGCCUUCAUUUCGUCUGAAAUCCUGUGUUUUUCGUCUUGCAAAAUAUUCAUCGCAAAGAUCGUCGUGUUCUUUUUUUUUGGGGAGUUUGUUUGGGUUCUCUGUUUUGAGACAAGUUUUGCAUCUCUGUAAAUCGUUUCUCCCCAAUUGUCAUCGGCUUUCCGACCAAUUUUUGGUCCGGUCUGGGUGCGAUCUUUGUUCAGAUCAUCGUAAUUUUUUUUUAUUUAACUCAGUUUGUCGAGGCUUUGUCGGCUAAGAGCAGAUUUUGCAUUUGGUUUACUCCGCUGAUAAAUCUGAGAUUUAACAGGAGUUCGAAGGCUACUGUUGGUUUGGGAUGAAAAAGAGAUUCUUUGCAAGCAUCACACAAAGGCCAUCAUUUAUUCCGUUUUCCAAGUGUACAAGGAGGUUGCUGGGUUGAGUUCGGUUACACAGAUAACGCUGCAGUAUACCAUACAAAGGUUUUUUUUUCUUUCCUUUUGCCCCUUUUUUGGGAUAUUGGUUACAAAAUCUGUUUUGAGCAUAGGUGUGAAAAUUGCAGUAGGGGUUAGUAAGUUAAUUAGUUAAUUUCAUUCUCAAUGUGCACAAAUGUUGUUCCUGCUUUAAUUCAUUUUCUUUGUAUCGAAAUUGAAUAAUCUAAUUCUCCUUGAUAUCCACUUAUUCUGCUAAGAUAUGCAAUACAAAUAUCUGCUAUCUCCUACCUGUAAACGUAUGACUUAAAAUCAUUUCAUUGACAAAUUGUGCCCAUGGUCUUGAUUUAUUUUUGAAAAGUUGUUUCUGAUUUUAGUUGUUAAAGUCAAUAAUCAAUUCUGCUUAGAUUUUUUGGUAGCGUAAGUGCGUCUACACUCAUCCCUAAUCUUGCACACACAUUAAUCUCUGUCACAUUGGUGAACUAUGGUAUUGUUUGUUUUAAUUAAUAGCCACCGAACUAGAUAUAUCUGAUCCAUCUUUUUUCCCGUAUCAUAUCACUUUUAAACCUGUUUGAUUGAAUUCUGCCAUUUACACCAAAAUACCUAAACAAUGACAUCAAAUUUUGAAGUAAAAAAUCUAAUAACUUUACUAAUUUUCAGUUUCAUUCAAUGACACUUCCUUUUCAAUUACUUUAAUUUUAACAUAUUUCACUUUCUUUAGAAUCAACCAAUACUUUUUCUUACGUCACCAAACAAUUAUACCUUAUUAUAUCCAAUUUGUAUUUAUGUUGUUUCUCUCAUGCUCUAUCACAAUAUAUCAGUUACUUUAAUAAAUUUAGUUCUAAACGUUUUCAACAUAGAUGAUCUUACAAAACUCACUGAUGUACUUAUCUAAUUUUUAAGUUUUCAGUAUUUUUAAUGAAUAGUUUGGUAUUUAGGCAGCUUCGAUCUUUGAUUUCAAAUAUGUGAUUUUGUCUAAUUCUUUCUGAUCCUCAAUUUCUAUUGUCGUAAUGGACAUUCUUGAAUCACAUUGGUUAACACCAAACAAAUGGUAUGUGUCAUAUUUCUCUUUUUCUAUUCCUUUACUUUUAUACAGAGUUUUGUUUGAAUGUCAUCAUUUUCACAAGCCCUUAUACACCCUUGAUUCAAACUUCAUCAUUCUUUAAAUAUCUUUAUAUAUUAUGCUCACACGUUUUGUAAUCCCGCAGCAACGCGCGGGCACUAUUUCUAGUUAUACAUGUACUAAAACUCAGUUCGGAUGGCACUGUUUUGCACUGUUCAUAAACAGUGAAAUGUCUAAAAUGCCCUUUGUUUUUCCUCUGUUUCCUUGCUGUUUCCUCUUUUGGUGCAGUGAAAAGUUUGUUUUGCCCAUCGAUCCACGCGUCGAUCAUCGCUGUGCGUCGACUGCUUCGACUUUUUCCUUCCGUUUCCGCUUUUCUUUCUCACAAAUCGCUGCUUCUGUCUCUCUCGCUUUCUCUCGCUCUCCGACGCUGCGAUCUCAGUCAAGAAAUCUGCUUCUAUCGCUCUUUUUCGCUUUCAAAUCUCGGUUGAAGUGAUUCUACUGGUCUCAAAUUACACCAUAUUUGAGGGUGAAAAUCUAAUUCUGCAGUCGGGGAGAGCUCCCCAUUGAUUCUUUAAAAUCAGAGGGCUCCCAUAUUACCACUGUUGCAGGUACGAGUACCGGGCGUAUUUCUACGAGGUCCUCAAGGUUUACACAAAGUUAUGGAUCGCCAAACACUCCUCCCCUGUUCUCUCACGCAUCUCCAGCUCUGUCUCUUUCAUUCUUGAGGUACCUGCCGCUGUUGUCGAUCUGCAGCUGCUGCUGGAAAGAGUUUGUAUGAAUAUUUCUCUUCUGGGAGUUAUGGAGGAGUUGGGGAGGAAGAACAACCACCAAUUCAUCCAUACCUCAGCUUUCAUUCCACGAUUCCUGAAAACGUUCAUAUCGCAAUUCUUGCCCAUCCUUGAGAUUUUCUGUAUGGGUUUUGGUUCUUUUGGAUUUGGAAGAAGAUGGAGAUCGGAGUUUGUUGCUAUCAUCUAUUCAACUUAAAUUUUUGGGGAUUUGGUUUGGAUUUCUGGUGUUUGUUUUCCAGAUUUGUAAUCACUAAAGUUUCUAAACAAUGAGAUGAUGCAACUGUUCAAAGUGCUUUAUUAUUAAGGAUUGUUUUGUUGCAAAAAGCAAGGCCAAUUUGUUUAAGGCUUGAAGAUUUCUACAUUCCCCAGGUUUAUCUUCGACUUCAGGUACUUUGUUCCAUUAACAACUUAAAGUCAGCUACAACCACAGAGUUUGGUUAUGAUUGGGUAAAAUAAGCUGAUUAUCUGGAUAUUUCAUGAGGAUAUCAGUAAGGACUAUCUACCCAAUCUUUUGUGUGUAAAUAGUAUGUAAAUACACAUCAAAUAUUAUCUUUUCUGUAAAAAAUACUAUAUACAAAAAAUUUCCUACGAUUAAGGACAAUUAGGAGUUCAAUUUGUAAAAGAUGUGAAUAUUAGAACAAUGACAAUAGAACUGCCAGUCCAUAUCAUUGUAAAUAGGUUUCUAUAUGUAUGUAAAUAGUAUUGCAUAUCGUGUGUAUUUAGAACUUUCUGCAUGCUUUAUACAAUUUUAAAACCCGCAGCAUCGCGCUGGAACUA